CGAAUCGCAUGGCCUUGCGCCGGCGAUGGUUCAUUCAAAUUUCUGCCCUAUCAACUUUCGAUGGUAGGAUAGUGGCCUACCAUGGUUUCUACGGGUAACGGGGAAUUAGGGUUCGAUUCCGGAGAGGGAGCCUGAGAAACGGCUACCACAUCCAAGGAAGGCAGCAGGCGCGCAAAUUACCCAAUCCCGACACGGGGAGGUAGUGACAAUAAAUACUGAUGGAGAGCUCUUUUGGGUUUUCUAGUUGGAAUGAGUACAAUUUAAAUUUCUUAACGAGGAACAAUUGGAGGGCAAGUCUGGUGCCAGCAGCCGCGGUAAUACCAGCUCCAAUAGCGUAUAUUAAAGUUGUUGCAGUUAAAAAGCUCGUAGUUGAAACUCAGGCCUGGCUGGCCGGUCCGCCUCACCGCGAGCACUGGUUCGGCCGGGCUUUUUCCUUCUGGGGAGCCGCAUGCCCUUCACUGGGUGCGUUGGGGAACCAGGACUUUUACUUUGAAAAAAUUAGAGUGUUCAAAGCAGGCAUAUGCUCGGAUACAUUAGCAUGGAAUAAUAGAAUAGGACGUGUGGUUCUAUUUUGUUGGUUUCUAGGACCGCCGUAAUGAUUAAUAGGGAUAGUCGGGGGCAUCAGUAUUCAAUUGUCAGAGGUGAAAUUCUUGG
rnacentral:rRNA from 1 species